GAUGAACGCUGGCGGCGUGCUUAACACAUGCAAGUCGAACGGAAAGGCCCCUGCUUGCAGGGGUACUCGAGUGGCGAACGGGUGAGUAACACGUGGGUGAUCUGCCCUGCACUUCGGGAUAAGCCUGGGAAACUGGGUCUAAUACCGGAUAGGACGAUGGUUUGGAUGCCGUUGUGGAAAGUUUUUCGGUGUGGGAUGAGCUCGCGGCCUAUCAGCUUGUUGGUGGGGUAAUGGCCUACCAAGGCGUCGACGGGUAGCCGGCCUGAGAGGGUGUACGGCCACAUUGGGACUGAGAUACGGCCCAGACUCCUACGGGAGGCAGCAGUGGGGAAUAUUGCACAAUGGGCGCAAGCCUGAUGCAGCGACGCCGCGUGGGGGAUGACGGCCUUCGGGUUGUAAACUCCUUUCGCUAGGGACGAAGCGCAAGUGACGGUACCUGGAGAAGAAGCACCGGCUAACUACGUG
rnacentral:rRNA from 1 species